GGAAUCUGAAAGAUGCAGGAAUAGUGCAACAGUUUGUAACACUACGGAGUUAUUUUAUUUUUCCUAUGCUAAGUUCACUCUUCACUCCUUUCAGUGUCUAAAGAGGAGCUGUAAGAAAGAAGGGGACAGAAUUUAUAAUGGUUUCUGUUGUGAUAGGAGAAGGGGAAAUGGCUUCAGACUGCAAGAGGGGAGACUGAGCCUGGAGAUAAGGAAGAAGGUUUGGCACUGAGGGCGGUGAGGCAGUGGCACAGGUUGCCCAGAGAGGCGGUGGUGCCCCGUCCCUGCAGACAGCCAAGGUCAGGCUGGACGGGGCUCUGAGCAC
rnacentral:lncRNA from 1 species